UCCGGUUGAUCCUGCCGGCGGCCACCGCUAUAGGAAUUCGAUUAAGACAUGCGAGUCGAGAGUCUUCGGGACUCGGCGGACUGCUCAGUAACACGUGGAUAACAUGCCCUUAGGAGGGGGAUAAUCUCGAGAAAUUGAGGAUAAUACCCCAUAGGCCAUGAAUGCUGGAAUGCUUUAUGGCCCAAAGCUCCGGCGCCUAAGGAUUGGUCUGCGGCCUAUCAGGUUGUAGUGGGUGUAACGGACCCACUAGCCUAUGACGGGUAUGGGCCUUGAGAGAGGGAGCCCAGAGAUGGACUCUGAGACACGAGUCCAGGCCCUACGGGGCGCAGCAGUCGCGAAACCUUCACACUGGGGGAAACCCUGAUGAGGGAAUUCCUAGUGCCUGCAUUUUUUGUAGGCUUUUAUCUAGUGUAGAUAGCUAGAAGAAUAAGGGCCGGGUAAGACGGGUGCCAGCCGCCGCGGUAAUACCCGCGGCCCAAGUGGUGGUCGAUAUUAUUGAGUCUAAAACGUCCGUAGCCGGUUCAGUAAAUCUUUGGGUAAAUCGGCCAGCUUAACUGACCGAAUUCCGAAGAGACUGCUGAACUUGGGACCGGGAGAGGCCAGAGGUACUUCUGGGGUAGGGGUAAAAUCCUGUAAUCCUAGAAGGACCACCGGUGGCGAAAGGCGUCUGGCUAGAACGGAUCCGACGGUGAGGGACGAAGCCCUGGGGCGCAAACGGGAUUAGAUACCCCGGUAGUCCAGGGUGUAACGCUGCAGGCUUGGUGUUGGGGGUCCUUCGGGGGCGCCCAGUGCCGGAGAGAGUUGUUAAGCCUGCUACUUGGGGGAGUACGUCCGCAAGGAUGAAACUUAAAGGAUUGGCGGGGGGG
rnacentral:rRNA from 1 species